AUGCAAAUAUGUAAACGAAGGCAUGCCCUGUAUUUCAGAAAAUAAAUUAAUACUAUUAAUACCCUAAUAAUACUAUUCAUAAAAAAUCUUUUAAGUAACGUAGAUAUAACAAAGUGAAUAAAAGGCAUAAAUCAGAAGAAUUUUUAUUUUAUAAGUUAAUAAUUGGUCAUAUCCAUUUAUUAUUUUAAUAAUAAUUGUGAAUAAGCCACAAACUUCGCUUAUUCCUAACUAAAAUAGUAAAUAGAGAUAAUAACAAAAGGAUUUGUAAAACUAAAAUAAUUCUUUUUGCGUUUUUGCUAAUGUAUGCGUUUAUAAAUAGGAUGGUAGACCACACACUAUAAUAUGCAGUACCAACUAAUGAAUACACAGAAUAUUAUAGUCGAUCUGCUAAACUCAGUCUCAGUACUACCGAGUCUCAGACACAACACAACUGGCUAGUGAUUUUAGUAAAUAAUUUAGUAAAUAAAAAAAAUAAUAACUAAAUAGUUAAUAAUUACUGUAAUUUUGGCAAAAUUGGCCAAAAACAAAAAAAAUUACCUACUAAAAUCACUAGCCAGUUGUGUCUGAGUUUGGGGAACCGACUAUACUAAUAAACAAUUUCUAAGCUGUUUUAUAAUAUUUUGUGAGUUCAUUAAUCAUAUUUUUUAUUUAAAACUAAAAUUUGUUAAUAAUGCUUAGUAAUGCAUAUAUUUUGUAUUUUUAGCUUUCUAGAAGAUCCUGCGAAGAAGACAUGAAGUAUAGAUCAGAUUUGUUAAUAGAGGAGUAUGUUCAAAACACUUUUUAGAAAAAGAUAUUGACAGAACUUCACUUUCAUCUGUUCGUUUGAGAGACUGUGCUGUUCCAAUAGCUUAUGUCACACAGAAUCAGCUGAGAGAAGUGGUCUACAAAAAAACCAGAAAGGAAACGGAAUAUGUGGCUACGAAAAGCAAAAGAAAGGUUUACAAAGCAAAUGUGACACAUUUUUUUUUCAUAUAUCGGCCACCUCCUGUUUUCAUAUAUUUUUUGACUUGUUUUGCAGUAAAUUCAACUAUCUAUUUACUACAAAAAAAGUCAGAAUACGUACGAAAACAGAAAGUGACCUUAAAAAAUGUUUUUCGUCUCCUGCAAACCUCAUGAAAAAACAUAUAGGAGGUAUUGUCACAUUACUGACGAUAUAUUUCAGUGAAUGUCUAAAAAAUAUACUGUGAAUGUUCAAAGAACGUUCGUAGACAUUCAUGGAAUGUUCUAACAAGACAUUCAGUCUAAAAAUAUACUGUGAAUGUCCAAAGAACAUUCAUGGAAUGUUCCAACAAGACAUUCAGUCUAAAAAAUAGACUGUGAAUGUCCAAAGAACAUUCGUAGACAUUCAUGGAAUGUUCCAACAGAACAUUCUAAGAAUAUUUAAAAUGCUGACACAGCACUUUCCUGGGACUUUCCAGGGACAUUCGUGUGCAUUUGGGGACAUUCCAGGAAUGUUUUCAAUGUCCUGUGUGUACAUUCUAGGAACAUUCAUGGAAUGUUUUGUGUUAUUAGGGUACUGACUACACUCCACUCCCUACUUAAGUACAGACAUUUUGCUUAGACAUUGCAAUGUAAGAUUCUAUCUCUGCAAUAAUGGCCAGCAAAGUUAACAGACGUGCAAAUAUAUAUCUCUCUGCUUUCUCCGCUUGAAGGCAAUAGGGCUUUUCAUUCACAGUCAUUUGUUUCGAGCUUCUGUCAUAUGUCGUAUAAUCUGUGUAUAUUAAUAUUAUACACAGAUUAUACAACAUAUGACAGAAGCUCGAAACAAAUGACAAUCGAUGAAAAGCCCUAUAGACAUAUUAUGGUAAAGAACUGCGAUUCGCUUGCUUCGCUAGUUAACACGCAAAAACACGGUUUAACCAUCACUGCAUACAUGCUUCUCUCUCUAUAAUAUUGAAAAACCAGUGUCGAAGCGUGACUUUUUCGAAAGUGUGACCAAAACCAGAUUAUGUAAAAAAAUCUUAUUUAAAAAAUUAUUUUGAACCUCCCAAAUAUAAGUUUUUGUUUUUAAUCCUGUGGGAUAAAGUUAAAUAAAUCACUAUUCCCAAGUAUGUAAUUAUGUAUAUGUAAUAGGUAUAACAAUAAAUAGUAAACAAACUAAACAUAUUAUUUUACCAUAAAAUUAACAUAAAACAUUGAACAAGUAGGAAAAAGAACAUAUUUUGAAAACUAUUGUUUAUAUUUUAAGUCUUCCAUUUUCAAUAAUAUAAUUUUUUUCUGCAAAAUUAUAUUAUAUAAAAAAAUAUACAAGGAGAAUGACUUUUCAAUAGGGAUGGGAAAAACCUACCGGUUAUAACCUAAAACCGAUUGUUUUAAUUCGAAACAACCGGUUUUACCGGUUGUUUUUUUUUUGUCCCGGUUAUAACCAGUUUUUCUUUUUUAAAGUAAUAACCGGUGAAAAACCGAAUAAGUUACCUCUGGAAAAAAAUUAAUUUAGAGAAAAAUGAAGAAAUUUCUAUCUAUUUUCGAUCUCAAUCAUAUAUGUAUUAUAAAUAAUAUGCGAACUAAUUAACCCAAACAGCCAUAAUUCAACUUUUAUUUACUAAUAGAGAACUGAACGAAAGUGUCACAUCAGCUUUUAUGAAACAAUUUUGGGAAUAGUUAUUUAAGUAGAUUUAUAUGAUUAUAUUUACAUAAAAAAGUAAAUGAUCUGCUUGAAAUCGAUAUUCCAACCAUCAUCUAAAAAAUUGUUUAUACUUGAGUACUUGAGACUCUUGUAUGAAAUGUGAAUACCGAAAUAGGAUUAGGAAUCUCCAUUCUGUAAUUUUUAAACAAUAAAUAAUUCUUAUGACAUAAAAGGUAGGUAUUACACAAACGUAUUAAAAAAUAUUACCUACUGAAAUUUUUUGAUGCCAUAGAGAAGUAAAUAAUGAAUUGGUUUAUUGAAUUUAUUUUUAAGUAAAAUAUACGCUGUGAGCUCGAAAGUGGCAAGUCUGUAAACGUUUACCGGAAAUUUGACAUAAAUGUCAAAGUGAUUAAUUUAAAAUUAAAAUUAAAAACAUUAAUUAUAAAAAAUAUUAGUUGAUCAAAGCUGUGGUAUAUAUUUUUACCUUAAAUAUACUUACGUUUUAAAUACUGAAUUUACGUUUUUUUAAUGUUCCGUAAUAUGUAAUCAUAAAUUAAUCUAGUAAUCUUAGCGCCAUCUACACGAUAAUUGUGAAAGUAUCCGAAGUAAGAAAUUAAUAUUUCAUCAAUAGAACGUCAAAAUGAUUAGCAAAAUCUUAAAAAAAUCUAUUACAAUUUAAUUACUUUUUAGCGUUGUAAAUAUUAAGCGAUAACAAUUAAAUAAUAAAUUUAAAAAUUACCGGUGAAAGUUGAAUUAGUAAUCCGCCAGGAGCGACACCAGCGAAGCUCAGAGCGUAUACGUCAUUUACGCCGUCUACAACGAGCGAUGAAUCAGAGAUUGGGGUACUUUCGCUCAUUUUUAGGGUAAUUUGAAAGCGCCUGGGAAAUUUUUUAUAGGUUGAAUUGGUUGGGGAAUUUUUCGGGAGGAAAAUUGAGCAAACUAAAGUGCAAUAUAAAUGUAACAUUAUAACCUAUUGAGUAUUUGCUUUUGAUUAAAAAAACCCAAAACCGGUUUUUGGAACAACCGGUUUUUUUGACCGGUUAUAACCGCCAGGUUAAACCGUAUGUAAAACAAACCGGUAUAACCGAAAACCGGUUUUUUGUUCAAAAACCGCCAUCCCUACUUUUCAAGUAGUUGAUCGAUUACGCAAUACUCAGCAACACUCUUCCAUGUUUCAAUGCACGCACACUGUAAUUUGUAAUAGGUACUAAAGCGCCGUCUCUAGAGCCGUUGCUCCUUCAAAAUUUUCAGAAACGAGCUAGUCCCAAUCCACAGCGAGUAUUCUCCUGCGUUACCAUACCCAAAUGUGGUAACAUCAUUAUAAUAACGUGCAACGAAUUCACAUAAUCCCGCCAAUAUGCUCGUGCAUCUAGUUGGCUAUUUACUGAAUUAAGUACUAUUAAUAAAUAUUUCUGUUAGUAAAAAAUAUUAAUGGAAUUAUUUCAUUGUAGUCAUAAAAUAUUUAUUUGCAAGAUUUUUAACUGUUACCAACGGUAUCAGUUGUUACAUGGACGCUUCGCCAGUGUGAAAAACGAUAAUCCCUGGUAGGCAAACCGCUAAUCAACUAGAAACAACUAAACCCUAGAAACAAAUAAACAUUAUAAACUUUAGAUUAAUAAAACGGAUACAAAUAACACAAAUUAGCAUAUCCACAUAUCCACAAUGUCUUAUAAGUAUUUAUUUAAAAUAAAUUAUUUACAAAGUAUUUUGAAACAACUGGUGUUAGCUACUAUAUUAGUUUGUCACAUCUAAAGUAUAAUAGAUUCAUUUAUUAAACAUAAAUUAAUUUUUAAGGCACUUCUAAGGCUUCCAGUUAUAUUGUACACUUUUAAUCAUUGAUAUUAGCGGCUAAAUUUACAUCAACUACUUAUAUUAAUUAAGUUAUAAAAUUAAUUUCUUACACAUAUG
rnacentral:lncRNA from 1 species